UACGUAGGGUGCAAGCGUUGUCCGGAAUUAUUGGGCGUAAAGAGCUCGUAGGCGGUCUGUCGCGUCGGCUGUGAAAACUUGGGGCUCAACCUCAAGCCUGCAGUCGAUACGGGCAGACUAGAGUGCGGUAGGGGAGACUGGAAUUCCUGGUGUAGCGGUGAAAUGCGCAGAUAUCAGGAGGAACACCAAUGGCGAAGGCAGAUCGCUGGGCCGUAACUGACGCUGAGGAGCGAAAGCAUGGGGAGCAAACAGG
rnacentral:rRNA from 1 species